GUAAUGCUGUGUGAUCUAUACACACAGUGCAUGUCCGUGUGUUACCUGCUGUGUGUGGACAGAGAGCUGUAAUGCUGUGUGAUCUAUACACACAGUGCAUUCCGUGUGUUAUCUGCAGUGUGUGGACAGAGAGCUGUAAUGCUGUGUGAUCUAUACACACAUGCAUGUCCGUGUGUUACCUGCAGUGUGUGGACAGAGAGCUGUAAUGCUGUGUGAUCUAUACACACAUGUAUGUCCGUGUGUUACGUGCAGUGUGUGGACAGAGAGUUGUAAUGCUGUGUGAUCUAUACACACAGUGCACGGACAUGUGCAUUUUAUAUAAUAUGUCUAUAGAUUCAUUCAUGUAUAAUAACACUGUAAUAUAUACACAGAUAUACACCAUAAUAUACAUUUUAUACAAGAUGUAUAUAUGUUAUUUGUGUAUAAUGAUAUCUAUCUAUAU